GGAAGUAAAAGUCGUAACAAGGUUUCCGUAGGUGAACCUGCGGAAGGAUCAUUACAACAAGGUUCCCUGGCCCUCGAAGCUUCGGCGGAGGGGGCUACAGCCUGACUUUAUACCCACCCUUUGCCUAUGUGUACCCCUAUUGCUUCCCUCGGCGGGUUCGCCCGCCGACAGGAACCAACUAAACCCUUUGCAUUAUACAUUUAACACUUCCGAUACAAAACUAAAUUAUUACAACUUUUAACAAUGGAUCUCUUGGUUCUGGCAUCGAUGAAGAACGCAGCGAAAUGCGAUAAGUAGUGUGAAUUGCAGAAUUCAGUGAAUCAUCGAAUCUUUGAACGCACAUUGCGCCCCUCGGUAUUCCGUGGGGCAUGCCUGUUCGAGCGUCAUUUACACCCUCAAGCUAUGCUUGGUGUUGGGCGUCUGUCCCGCCUUCGUGCGCGGACUCGCCUCAAAGUCAUUGGCAGCGGUCUCGUCGGCUUCUCGCGCAGCACAUUUGCGCUUCUCGGAGCCCCGGCGGAUCAGCGUCCAGCAAGCGAUUUCAUGACUUGACCUCGGAUCAGGUAGGGAUACCCGCUGAACUUAAGCAUAUCAAUAAGCGGAGGA
rnacentral:rRNA from 1 species